GCUGAACCGAGCCUGUUUUGCGGCUGGGGGGCAAAUGUGUUCCUUUAAAGAGCUCCACUUUUGCUAUUUGUUUCAGUUCUAUAGUUGUGGCCAGAAGCAGUCGCUGAGGAAGGGUUAUGUGGUCAGAAGCAGUUGCUGGCUGAAUGUAGACACAGAAACUCAGGGUCCAGUUACCAUAAGAGAAGCAUCUCUGCACGCAACGGUGUGGUUCCUGCAGCCCCUCGUCUCCUCUGGCUCUCCGGCUGCCUAAGAAUGUCGGACCAGGGGAUGAGGCUGUUCGCUGUGUUCCUUGGCUUUCCUGUUCUGCUCUUGGCCUACCGGUGUCAGAGUCCAAACCAGGACCAUCAAAUGGUCACCAGCUCUAAAAGCAACUCUGUCUCCCUCUUCCUACCUUCUCAGCCCUCCUCUGAUGUCUUCCACAUGGUGUGGAAAAAGGACAACAAAGUGAUGGCUAAGGCAAAAAAUAUCUCAAAUGUCUUGACUUUCAGAAACAAAACCAUCUUGUUUCCAAAUGGGACUCUGCUGCUGUACAGCCUGCUCAAGGAAGAUAGAGGUCUUUUCCAGCUGGAGAUCUUCAGUGACAGUGGAACAUGUCUGUUCUGGGGCAGCAUUAUGCUGGAUGUCCAGGACCCAGUGUCCAAGCCGGUCUUAUCACAGAUUUCUUGGCAGAAUGAAACAGUAAACCUAAAGUGUGAAGUGCAGCGAGGUGACAAUGUGUCCAUCCAGUGGCUGGAACGCCCAUGUGGCACCAACAGCAGCUGGGUUCGCACCAUGAGAGGCUUCACCUUGUCUGUUGAGAGGGGCACCUCCAGAGAGUUCAUCUGCACGGCUAUGAACAACAUCAGCCAAGAGACCAGCAAUGCUCUGACUGUUGACUGCCAUGAUGGAGCUGCACCUGAAAUAGUUUCAAACUCUGGUGACGAACCCAUGAGGAGAGAUACGGCGAGCGACCAAAUCAUCGUGCUCCUACUCUGUGCCUUUGCAAGCCUCCUUGUCAGCGUUACCAUAUUCCUGGUCUUCUUCAGCAUUGCCCAGAGGAAAAGAAAAACAGGGGUCAUGGAAACGAAAGUGGGAAGCUUUGCUGUGAGAGACCAGCAAGUCUUACAGAUGCUGAAAGAGGAGGUGUAUGUCGAUAUGAGCUUAGAGACCAUUGCCAGGACGGUACCAGAGAUGAGUAGCUUUGGACCAAUGGAGGCACCCUGGAAUGCACAGGAAGCAGAGACAGAUGCUAUCUAUGUCCCAAUGAAUACUGCCAAUAGCAAGGAAGAAACUGUUCCUGCUUCUGAAAUAAGUCAACCUGCAACUCAGCCCUCUGGUGAGGAACAAGUCUCUGAUGUAAGUUCCGGGAAUGACCGCAGACAGGUGGUUUAUGCCGAAGUCAACUUCUCAUCCAAGGAGCAGUCAAAAUGCAGUUCCUCACCCACCGUAGGACAAUCACAGUGAUGGCAAAGUACUGGCAGUCUGUUGCGAGUCCUCAGUCUGAGUCUCUGCAUUGUGUCUGAAAAACAGGUCUUAAUAUUACAGUCUUUUUGUCUAGAUGUGAGUCCUAUAGCUCUGACCCUUAGCUGGUGUUUAGCAAAAAUUGGCAAGUGAGACUGCUCCCAUGACUGAUGACUGGGCUUUUCUCAAAUUUCUCAGAGUUUCUCAAAUAACCGCUUUGCAGAAUCAUGGAGCAAACAGCGAUCAUUCUGUCAAAACAAUGCUGGUUGGUCCAUUCAUGUAUAUGUUUUUCCAGGAUUUAGAAACUGCUGUGUUCACCUUUAUUUUCAGUGUCCUUUUACAGUAACUACUAAUAAUUAUUAAUGAAAAGAAAACAUGCAUUGGUUCCACAGAGUGUUUGACACAAUUACUAUUUUCUACUCUUGGUUUAUUUGUCUAAGCCAUACUGGACACUGGACUCAACAGCUGUUAUAAAUAAUAUUUAAUUGUAAAAUAACAUAUAAACACACAAAGAUUUGUCAAAAAUUUGUUUGGAGUUAUUGCUUCAUGUUCUGGCAUUUGAACAUAAAACAUUUUAAUAACAUUAAAUCAUGAUUCGUUUUAACAGUCUGCACAAAAAACCAAAAAUUGUAAGAUGAGACACUUUUGCAAACACCUCUGAGCUCUUAGUCCUGCUGUGUCUGACUGUCUCUUGCACUCAUGUCCUUUACAUAAACAGGAGUUCCAC
ensembl:lncRNA